AUAUUGGGCAAUGGACGCAAGUCUGACCCAGCCAUGCCGCGUGAAGGAUGAAGGCGUUCUGCGUUGUAAACUUCUUUUAUUUGGGAAGAAACCACCGAUUUCUAUUGGUGUUGACGGUACCCAAGGAAUAAGCACCGGCUAACUCCGUUCCAGCAGCCGCGGUAAUACGGAGGGUGCAAGCGUUAUCCGGAUUCACUGGGUUUAAAGGGUGCGCAGGCGGGCUGUUAAGUCAGUGGUGAAAUCUCCGAGCUCAACUCGGAAACUGCCUCUGAUACUAUCAGUCUUGAAUACCGUUGAGGUGGGCGGAAUAGGUCAUGUAGCGGUGAAAUGCAUAGAUAUGACCUGGAACCCCAAUUGCGAAGGCAGCUCACUAAGCAGAUUAUUGACGCUCAGGCACGAAAGCGUGGGGAUCAAACAGG
rnacentral:rRNA from 1 species